rnacentral:rRNA from 1 species
AUACGGAGGAUGCGAGCGUUAUCCGGAUUUAUUGGGUUUAAAGGGUGCGUAGGCGGGCUGUUAAGCGUGAGGUGAAAGCUCGGGGCUCCACCCCGGAACUGCCUCGCGAACUGGCGGUCUUGAAUGUCCGUGGCGUGGGAGGAAUGUGUGGUGUAGCGGUGAAAUGCAUAGAGAUCACACAGAACACCGAUUGCGAAGGCAACUCACGAACGGAUGAUUGACGCUGAGGCACGAAAGCGUGGGGAUCAAACAGGAUUAGAUACCCUGGUAGUCCACGCAGUAAACGAUGAUAGCUAGCCGUUGGCCCGUCAAAGUGGUCAGUGGCCGAGCGAAAGCGAUAAGCUAUCCACCUGGGGAGUACGGCCGCAAGGCUGAAACUCAAAUGAAUUGGCGGGG